rnacentral:lncRNA from 1 species
UACUAAACUGAACAUAAAUAAAAUAAACUAUGAAAUUAUAAAUGAUCUAACAGGGACAUCUUAGCAGCACAGAGCAAUGUAGAAUGCAGUGGUUUCUGCUAGUCAUGGAAGGGGGAUUUUACCUGAUGAGGGUUGGUGGUGAUUUAAAUUCAAAACCUUUGUCCCCUGAACUUGCUUGGCCCCACCUGGUUGGGGGCGGGUGUUGGGGAGUGGCCCCUUUAAGAAUCUCUGUGAGGGUGAGCGCGGCAGUUGGAGCCUCGGGGAAGAAGGACCAGGGGGCUGGGAUUCAUCAGGUGUGUACAGGGCAUCACCAGGUGUGAGCUGGGCCUCAGCCACUGCCUCCACUCUGCAGGCCUUCCUGGGAGCUCACCCAGCCCCUGGGCCCCUCUCUGAGCCCGGAUCGCCUCUCCAGCACUGUAGCAGACUUUAAUUCACCUUUGUCAGGAAGGAAAGUCAUCGAGGAAUCCAGAAACAAUGAUUUCUUCCCAGAAGAAGCAGCACAGUGCAAGAUGGCAGCACAUGGAGCAUCUAACUAACAGCCUACAUGAAGCUUAUGUAACAUUGUUAUGUCAUCAGUCUAUGAUUCUGGCCAUGAAUUCCAGCUCUGUAGAUCCCUUACAACAAUAUGAAACUCAAUUGGAGGUAACAAAGAAAUCUUUUAAAAUGGUAUUUGGACUACCAAGUUUUGACAAAGGAACAUUUCAGACCAGCGAUGAAGAUGUCAAGGACCUGGAGAUUUUAUAUCGAGAUAUUUUAAAUUUGUUUGAGGACACUAUUCUGAUCUUAGUGUCUAAAGACCUCUACAAACUACAGAUCUUAAAGGAAAUGACUAUGUGGAUGAGUGAAGAUAGUUUAUACCAGCAAGAGAGAGUAAUGGUGAUCAUCAGCAGGGUGUUAAGAUUUGCAUCCAGGAAAGUCAGGGAACAUACAAGUAUUGAUGCUCCAUGUUUAGGUGUCCUGGCAGCAGAGCUGUCUCUUCUGUGUUCCCAUGCUGAUGCCUCAGUCACACAGCAAGCAUCCCUGGGAAUGUAUUACCUCCUCUGCAUUGCAAAACAUCAGAGUGCAGACUCCCAAAGAGACAACCCUACAAAGCAGUAUGAGCAUGGAAAUCACUGCUUCCUGACUUCUGAUUCUGAAUUCCGACCUGAGGUUUUGCAACAAGACAAAACUAAACUUGCUCAGUGUAUAGGACAAAGCUUAUCACCCUCUUUGCUGACUGACUUUAUGUUGCAUCUCCUGAUGAAACUCUCGACAUCUGAUCAAGAAACUGCAUCCAAAGCAGCAACUGUGCUGAAACUGACUCUGAAAUAUCAUGCCCAGAAGGUCACCAGGGUGUGUCAGAUGGUGGACACUAUUUAUAAGCAACUGAAAGAAAAUUCUUCUCACUUUAUGAAGGACAUCUUGUUGGAGGUUGUCACCUUGUUGGCACAAAUGUUGCCCAAAGGUGUCGUCUUUCAGCUCAUGUACUACCCAGUCCCAGCGGACAACGCUCUGAUGCUGAUGUGGCAGGCAGUGGGCUCUGAGCCACAAGUUGCCCCACAAGUGCUGAAGGAAAUCCUGUUGGUCUUGAAAGACAAACCUUGGGAAGUGGAGGACACCAUGCAGGAAGGGAGAUGCUUCAUUCUGGAUGUCACUAACAUGAUGCCUCUGGCGGCAUCCCAGGCCCUGUGCAUGCUUUUGCCUAUGGGUUCCUAUAAGAAGACAGUGGCCCAGUUUUUUCCCGAGAUCUUGAUGGCCCUCAUGUUUCAACUCCUUUACAUCAGUCAGCUGAGAGUGCAGCCACAGGACAGGCCUAUUUAUGCCCGGGAGGGGCUGAGAAUUCUGCUAAAUUGUUCUGGACUGCAAGAAGUGGAUACUGCUCUGAAACAGAAGUAUUGCUGGAGUCAUAUUUGCCAAACAUACUAUUACCAAGAUGGGGUCAACCUCAUUGCCAGAACUCUCUGUGAAUAUAACUUUCCACAGUUUCCAGAAACCUUAUAUUAUCUCCACAAGAUCUUAGUGCAAGGUCCUAGGAGGUCAGAAGAGCAUAUCAUCAUAGUAAUAUUCUUCAUCAAAAUUCUGGAUAAGUUCUUUAAGGACCCACUCCCAGAAUUAUUUUUGGUCCUCCUCAGAAACUGGAUCAAUGAUUCCAAUCCUGAAAUUAGCAAAUUAAGCCUUCAGAAAAUCACCAGCAUGGCCCCAGUUGUCCAUAAGAUAGAAAAUGUCCGCAGCUUAUUAACAUCCAUCCUAGAUGCCUUCGGGUCCAAAGAUGAGACUGUUGUAACUCAGGCCUUGCUCACCCUCCGAAGACUGGUAGACAAACUGGACAAGGUGAACUAUUCAUCACUGUGCACUGGAAUUGCUUCCAGCUACUUCCAUCUGAUGGAUCAUUGCUCUGGAAAUGUGCGGAGCUUGGCUAUCAGGCACUUGGCAGAAUUGAUCAAGGGUGUGAGCCAACACACAUCAACCUUAAAACAUGUCCUAGGAGGCUUCGCACCCUUCAUCCUCUGUUUGGAGGACAGGGACACUAGAGUAGUGAGUGCAUGUAAACAUACAUUAGCAAUCUGUGACUCGCAACUAGAAUGGUCAAUCUCAACUUUGUUUAAAGAAGAAAAUUACAAUUUUGAGCUGGUAGUUCUCAGCAUCUGUAACAAUCUUCUUCUUUCUCAUGAGAGUUGCAUUACAUACUUAACUUGUGACGCCUUAGGGUUCCUGGGAAGCUCCCAAGUGCAUCUGAGAAGAGCAGCAGUUAUUUUACUAGGGUACUUGGCAGAAUUGGGUGGACAUUUGCUAUUCAGAGAUGAAAUUGAAGUUUUGAUUGAAGAAACAGAGAAGAGAAAGAGGACCAGCAGCCACUCUACCUGCCCCUGGAUCCUCCUCCAGCUUCUGACCUCUGAGCCAGGUGUGUUGACUUCUGUGGGAAAGAACGCUGGCUUCUCCUGCAGGACACUCACAUGAUGAGCAUCGUGAUGGAGCCGGGAAGCUCCAGACACCCUUGUACUGAUGUGAUCUCCCUUGUCCUCCCCCCCACCCCGCUCACUCACACCUCCCUGCCCAUUGCCUGCCUUGCUGAUGUCAAGCUCCAGCGUCAGGUGAAGAUGAUAACCUACAGAGACUACUUACCCAGCUCCCAAGGUUGCAUGAAGUCAAAGCCCAGGUUCUGCUUCUCUAACAGAACCCUGACUGAUACAGUACCUGGGAUAAACUUUCACACCCUACUGCUUGAGGGUGGGUGAUGGAUGUCGCGCCUAUGAUUUCUCUUAACACCCUGUGAUUAUAUUUUUCACUACACUUAUCAGACUGGAGCAAAAUUAUCUAUUUUCCUUCUGCCCCACAAAAUUGAAGUUUCAUGAAAGCAACUGUCAUAUCUUAUACUUGGUUGUAUACUAUGGAACUGACACCUCAUUAGGUGCCUGACACCUAACAUGCUCGAUAAAUAUUUGGCAAAUUAAUGAAGUGCAAGUAGAACAUAUUCCUCUUGUACUUCAAUAAAAUUUUUCACAUAUUUAUGAGUGCUCUUUCAUGGAAACAGUGAAAGGAUGGACUUUUUUGAUUUAUCCCUGAGCCCAUGUUAUUUUAUAUUACCUAGAAGUCCCAGGCUUACCAUUCAAAAUUAGGGCAAAUUUCCUUUGCCAGCUACUAAACUAACAGAAUACCUAGAGAACCAGGCCAAAUAAUGACUUCCUCAAGGAUUAUCAAGUCCUACUCCCAGAACCUCUAAAUCUAUUGCUUUAUAAGGCAAAAGAGCUGUGUUCCAGGAGCAUAGGUACCUACUCACCCUCAAACAAAGUCCUCGUGUUAAUAGUUGAUCGAUCAUAUUUGGUUGGCUACUGUAUGUCAGGUACUACAAGGUGUUUUGCUUGCUGGUUCUUCCCAACAGUCUAAGCUGUCAGCCAUUAUUCUUGCACCCAUUGGGCAGACGAGUAAUCUGAGCCACAGUUUAGGAAUAGGGCAGGGGGUGAUAUAUUUGGACUCAGGGACUCCAGAGCCAGGGUGCCUAAUCCCUCCACCACAGUAUAUGCUGUACAUGGAUCUGUUUUUUCCACUGAAUAUAAACCCAGUUUGCACAUUAGAAUCACUUGGGCUUUUAAAAAAAUACUAAUAAACAGACUUGACUCCAGAUCACUUAUAUCAGAAUCUUUGGGCAUGAGGCUCAAGGAUCCAGGUGUUUUAAGAAUACAGGUGGAGCUGGGCGUGGUGGUGCACACCUGUAAUCCCAGCACAGGGGAGGCUGA